CAAUAGUAGUAACAAGAAUACACAUGCUAUCCAAGUAGGUUACCCCAUUUGUUACAUAAUCUAUUGUUUUGGGGCCAUUCUCCAUGCUUCUGCUGUUUACACAAGUUUACGUGAGUAUCGUCAUCCAGGAGAUUGCUUAUCUUAACAUUCCUGAAUUCUAUCAAUCACCUCAUCUCAGUAAAUGUUAAAAUGCAAAAUAAUCAUUCGAGACAGAUCUUGAAAGACAUU